GGUUGCGAUCAUACCAGCACUAAUGCACUGGAUCCCAUCAGAACUCCGCAGUUAAGCGCGCCUGGGCGAGAGUAGUACUAGGAUGGGUGACCCCCUGGGAAGUGCUCGUGUUGCAACUCC
rnacentral:rRNA from 1 species